UACGGGGGGGGCAAGCGUUGUUCGGAAUUACUGGGCGUAAAGGGCUCGUAGGCGGCCAACUAAGUCGGAUGUGAAAUCCCCAGGCUUAACCUGGGAACUGCAUCCGAUACUGGAUGGCUUGAAUCCGGGAGAGGGAUGCGGAAUUCCAGGUGUAGCGGUGAAAUGCGUAGAUAUCGGGAAGAACACCCGUGGCGAAGGCGGCUCUCUGGAACGCAACUGACGCUGAGACGCGAAAGCGUGGGGAGCAAACAGG
rnacentral:rRNA from 1 species